rnacentral:rRNA from 1 species
GGUGGAGCAUGUGGUUUAAUUCGAUGCAACGCGAAGAACCUUACCUACUCUUGACAUCCAGAGAAGCCAGCGGAGACGCAGGUGUGCCUUCGGGAGCUCUGAGACAGGUGCUGCAUGGCUGUCGUCAGCUCGUGUUGUGAAAUGUUGGGUUAAGUCCCGCAACGAGCGCAACCCUUAUCCUUGUUUGCCAGCGAGUAAUGUCGGGAACUCCAGGGAGACUGCCGGUGAUAAACCGGAGGAAGGUGGGGACGACGUCAAGUCAUCAUGGCCCUUACGAGUAGGGCUACACACGUGCUACAAUGGCGCAUACAGAGGGCAGCAAGCUAGCGAUAGUGAGCGAAUCCCAAAAAGUGCGUCGUAGUCCGGAUUGGAGUCUGCAACUCGACUCCAUGAAGUCGGAAUCGCUAGUAAUCGUGAAUCAGAAUGUCACGGUGAAUACGUUCCCGGGCCUUGUACACACCGCCCGUCACACCAUGGGAGUGGGCUGCAAAAGAAGUGGGUAGUUUAACCUUUCGGGGAGGACGCUCACCACUUUGUGGUUCAUGACUGGGGUGAAGUCGUAACAAGGUAGCCCUAGGGGAACCUGGGGCUGGAUCACCUCCUUA